CUGAUGUAAAAUUCUAGAACAUGUGAACUAAUCUAGAGUGAGAGAAAGCAAAUCUGUGGUUGCCUAGAGACCACGGGGCAGGAAUGGUAGAAAGACAUUUCAAAGAGGGCUGAUGACUCUCAAGGCUCAGAUAUCUGCAGCUCAAGAAUGGAUGUGACCAGUGAUGGCAAGCCACCUUAGGCCAUUCAAGGCUCCCAGCUGGAAAGAAGGCAUCUCUCAUUUGGGUGUCUAAAGAGAAAGCCCAACACUCUCACCUCCAGAGCCAGGCUCAGCCUCUUAUAAUGCUCCCAUUUCUCUCUCUGGUCUGGCCAACCCAGCUCAGAUCUGAACUGCUUUUUCUCACUUAUGACCAGGGCUUAUCUCAUCGGCCUUGGAGAAAAACUCCACUUGGAGUUCCCACUUGGAGAAAAACUCUUGAUUCUAAUGCCUUAUCCUGUAUUGGUGGAGAGAAUUUAAAUCAAUGUUCAGAGUCCCAGAAUUUCCACAUUGAAGUCUUCCUGGCCAGCACAGAGUGAUAAGUGACUCACAUUCUCAAAAAUAUCUAUACCAAAACUACAAGAUCAUGCCUCUUACUACUCCUACUCCUCAAGGUGAGGAAAUCCUAGACAAACUACAGUGUAACAAAGUCCCUGAGAAAAGUGUCACUCCCUCUUUUCUUCACCAAUCAAGGGAAGACAAAAACAAGCAGAAUUUUAAGGAGUUUUCUGAAUACUAAUUAGUAGUAUGAGCUUGGACAACUCACAACUUGUUGGUCUUCAAUUUCCCCAGCUGUAGAAAUAAAACGAUUAUACAGAA